rnacentral:tRNA from 1 species
CACCGGCCUGGGCGGGGAUCUCCGCGCCGAUCAUCCGGCGCAUGAGCCGGUAGUACACGCCGGCCGUGUACCGCUUGAACGCGGUGUCGGUGC